GCCGAUGUAGCUCAGUUGGUAGAGCAACGCUUUCGUAAAGCGUAGGUCAGCGGUUCGAAUCCGCUCAUCGGCU
rnacentral:tRNA from 1 species